rnacentral:ncRNA from 1 species
CUUGUGGACUGUCAUAUCAAAUGAGAGUAGACUUUACAUUUCAAAGUGUGAAAAUGAAAUCAGACAGGUAGAAGCAAGAA